rnacentral:rRNA from 1 species
GAUGAACGCUGGCGGCGUGCUUAACACAUGCAAGUCGAACGGAAAGGCUCCUGCUUGCAGGGGUACUCGAGUGGCGAACGGGUGAGUAACACGUGGGUGAUCUGCCCUGCACUUCGGGAUAAGCCUGGGAAACUGGGUCUAAUACCGGAUAGGACGAUGGUUUGGAUGCCAUUGUGGAAAGUUUUUCGGUGUGGGAUGAGCUCGCGGCCUAUCAGCUUGUUGGUGGGGUAAUGGCCUACCAAGGCGUCGACGGGUAGCCGGCCUGAGAGGGUGUACGGCCACAUUGGGACUGAGAUACGGCCCAGACUCCUACGGGAGGCAGCAGUGGGGAAUAUUGCACAAUGGGCGCAAGCCUGAUGCAGCGACGCCGCGUGGGGGAUGCCGGCCUUCGGGUUGUAAACUCCUUUCGCUAGGGACGAAGCGCAAGUGACGGUACCUGGAGAAGAAGCACCGGCUAACUACGUG